AUUCCAUGAUGAGGACAAUCUUGAAUAUAUCCUUGCAUAUGCUCUCAUGCUUCUGAAAUGGUUUGUGUCUUCUGCCGUUGGAAGUUGGUAAUCUUUCCUCUCAAGGC
rfam:Sorghum bicolor cultivar BTx623 chromosome 8, whole genome shotgun sequence.